GGUUCCCAAGCUCGGCCAAAUUAUUGCGAACACUUCAAUAGAACCGUUUAUGUUAGUUCUGUUCCAAUUGCUGCUUGAUAUCAUGCAACCUUUAAAAUUCUCUUCGCGUGAAUAGCGCAUAAAUUGGUGUGCUCAAAGAGCCCAACAGGCAAAUCGAUCAAAUCGCAACGAAAUCAACAGGAAAGACCCGGCGAUUCACGAAAUUAACGGUCGAACGCCGGCAGCUCAGGUUCUGCUUUUUAUUGCAAACAGGUACCACAAGUAUCUCUGUGCCAACUAGGAACUGCUCAUGUGUUAAGCUAUGUACAUGUUCAUCUUCUGGAUAGUGAAGGAAGAGAUGUCGACAAAUUGGUAGCCCUUUCUGACAGGCUUCCUGUGUAAUUCAACAAGAUCUUUGCAAGACGUGCGAAAUGUGACAGUGUUCUAUUAUUGGAGUAGAACUGGUGGUUGCAAGAUGGCUUGUUUCCCUGAAUUAAUAUGU